GACGAACGCUGGCGGCGUGCUUAACACAUGCAAGUCGAACGGAAAGGCCCUGCUUUUGUGGGGUGCUCGAGUGGCGAACGGGUGAGUAACACGUGAGUAACCUGCCCUUGACUUUGGGAUAACUUCAGGAAACUGGGGCUAAUACCGGAUAGGAGCUCCUGCUGCAUGGUGGGGGUUGGAAAGUUUCGGCGGUUGGGGAUGGACUCGCGGCUUAUCAGCUUGUUGGUGGGGUAGUGGCUUACCAAGGCUUUGACGGGUAGCCGGCCUGAGAGGGUGACCGGCCACAUUGGGACUGAGAUACGGCCCAGACUCCUACGGGAGGCAGCAGUGGGGAAUAUUGCACAAUGGGCGGAAGCCUGAUGCAGCAACGCCGCGUGCAGGAUGACGGCCUUCGGGUUGUAAACCGCUUUCGCCUGUGGCGAAGCGUGAGUGACGGUAAUGGGUAAAGAAGCACCGGCUAACUACGUG
rnacentral:rRNA from 1 species